rnacentral:rRNA from 1 species
UACGAAGGGGGCUAGCGUUGUUCGGAAUUACUGGGCGUAAAGCGCGCGCAGGCGGUCUUCCAAGUCAGUGGUGAAAGCCCGGAGCUCAACUCCGGAACUGCCAUUGAAACUGUUAGACUUGAGGACGAGAGAGGUGAGUGGAAUUCCCGGUGUAGUGGUGAAAUGCGUAGAUAUCGGGAGGAACACCAGUGGCGAAGGCGACUUCCUGGCCUGUUCUUGACGCUGAGGCGCGAAAGCUAGGGGAGCAAACGGG